AUGGAUCUUCGGGGUAAGGUGAAAUUCCUGACCGGCGGUGAGAGUUCAUUCUUACGAUAGAUUGUUAAGCCAAGCUUGAUUGGGUUUGGCAAUCCAUCAUAAAUGAACUUAUAGCCCGCGACUCGUCUUUCAUGAAAUGAUGAAGGCGACUGACUUGGUGUGAUUCCAAGGCCGACGGUAAAGUCCGGAUGGGAGAAGAUCAAA
rnacentral:ncRNA from 1 species